rnacentral:RNase_P_RNA from 1 species
CAAGCAAGCUGGACAGCCGCGCGGCCGGGGCGAAAGGCCCGGCUGUGAGGAAAGUCCGGGCUCCACAGGGCAAGGAUAACGGGUAACACCCGCCGGGGGCGACCCCAGGAAAAGUGCAACAGAAAUAGUCUGCCGGUCUUUGACCGGUCAAGGUGGAAAGGCGAGGUAAGAGCUCACCCGAUGGCGUGCCAAGCGUCCAUCGCUGUAAACUCUAUCUGGAGCAACGCCGUGGAGGGACAUGAGGCUGGCCCGGCCGUCCCGAGGAGGCGGCUUGAGCGUACCGGCGACGGUACGUCGAGAUAGAUGGCUGUCUUAAAUGACAGAACCCGGCUUACAGGCUUACUUGCGAU